ensembl:misc_RNA Y_RNA Y RNA
GGCUGGUCUGAAGGUGGUGAGCUAUCUCAAUUGAGUGUUCACAGUCAGUUACAGAUCCAGCUCGUUUUUCUACUCUUUCUCAUUCUCACUACUGCACUUUACUACUCAAGA